rnacentral:lncRNA from 1 species
ACCCUCCGACUCUCGAAGCCUCUUCCUCAAGACCUCAGACUCCACCUCGGCAUCUUUGACCGCCUGCUGCUCAUGGACUAGCUGAAUCUUCAGCCGCUGCAGUUCAGCCUCCCCCCACCCAAGGGCCACGGACAAUUCUGCCAUGGUCCCCCUCAAAGAGCGGAGGUCGUCAGAGCCUUGUGCAGAGGUGAGCUGGGCUCUCUCAGAUAGCUACCUCCGAAGGUGGGC